AACGAGAGGAAAUUUAAAAACAAAACGAAAAGUUUUGGCGGCAAAUGAAAAAAAAAAUCCACAAGACUGCCACAGAAGGAAGAAAGAAUCACAAAUGCAGUCCAAGAUCACCGCUUUCUUCAGAUUCACCCCAGCUUCCUCUUCUUCCAACAAUGAAAAUGAUUUGUCAGUUUGGGGGAAUCGGCAACACCACAUCAUCAACACCUAUACCCGAAGGCGCCCAAACCCUAACGCCGGUACUUCGGUUCCCAAACCCGUAACACUCGUCAAAAACAAGAAGAGAAGCUACGCUCAGUUUCACCUUGAUUUUGGCCAAUCCGAUUUCCUCUUACGCGUGUGUUCUACGUGCGGCGUGAAGUUCACUCCCGGCGAUCCACAAGACGAGAAAUCCCACAACGAAUUUCACAAAUCAUACACGCAGGGAAUCCAGUUCAGAGGUUGGACCAAAGAAAAUGUUAUUUCUCUACCCAGUUUGGAUCCGGGUCGGGUCAUUUUGUUCUCGGAGACGGACCCGUUUUCUCACAGGAAGAAAAUUGAAGAGGUGGUGAGGAUGAUGGAAAUUGAGAUUGGAAGUGGGUGGAUACUUCACGAGCGCUGUAAGGUGUAUCUGUUUGUUUCUCUUAAUAGGGUUGCUGGGUGUCUCGUUGCAGAACCAAUUGAAAAGGCAUUCAAAGUUGUGUCUAGCUCUGGUGCUGUACCUGUUCAUAGCGCGAAGAAAAGGGGAGACACGACGCGUUCUACAAUUCUUCAGUUUGGGAAUGCUAUUUUUCAAAGGGAGGUCCAAAGAAAAGUUGUUAAUGUGAGUGAUUCCGAAAAGAUGGAAGGGGCAAUCUUAUGUGACAGCGAACCAACUGCUGCUGCUUGUGGCGUUAGGGCCAUUUGGAUUACUCCCUCCAACAGAAGAAAAGGCAUUGCAACCCAGUUGUUAGAGGCAGCGAGGAAGAGUUUCUGCCCCGGUCUCGAGCUUGGACGUUCUCAGUUAGCAUUCUCCCAGCCCACCUCUGCUGGAAAGGCAUUAGCAACUAGUUAUACUGGCACUGGGUCAUUCUUGGCCUAUUAAAGCCAACAAAACAGUUUAUUAGUGAUUCACUAUCUUGACUGUUAAUAGGCUUUGUCAUUUUGAGUUGAUUUUACCAUUUAGUUGUUGAGAGCCCUCGGCUGCAAGAAGUCUCUAAUAUUGGAACCGAAUUGUUGGCUGGAGUUUAUCAGGGCCAGCAAAAUGCUUUUAGGAAGCCCCAACAGGCCUGGACGAACCAGAAUCAAGGACAACAGCAGCAGUAUAGUUCUGGGGGGAGCGAUAUACCUAAUAUGAGAUAUGUGCCGCCACCACAUCUGCAAACACAGUUGUUUGUCCAGCAGUCCCAUAAACAAAUGCAACAGAUCAAUCAACAGGCUCAACAGUUCAAGCAGAAGGUAGGAUCCAAUCCUGGACAGUUCCAGCAGUUUGGACAAUCAGGUUUUGCACCACAACAGCAAGCCAAAGUUGAUCCAACAAUAGAAGCCACGUUUCAAGAUUUAAAAACUCAAAUUGGACAACUUGCUACUGCUGUGAAUGAACUGGUUCAACAGAAGUCAAGUGCAAUUCCUUCUCAAACAGUGGUCAACCCAAAAGCAAGUCAACAGUAGUGAUACAUCAGUGUGGAUGUUUCAGUAUCAUUCUUCUUUGUUCUACUAAGUGUUUGUACCAGUUCACACAGAGUUUCACUUUCUUUUUGCUGCAGCUGUUGUAGUUUCUAUCUUUUAUCAAUAUGUUAUUUAUAAUUGUACAUUAAUUUAAAUUUAAAUGUUACUUGGCUGUAUACUUUCUUUGUUUCAGGACAUCGUAGCAAAAUUAUUUUCAUUUUCAAAGCAGAGGCCAAGGGCUUUGUGCAGCUUAACUGAAACUGAGACUGUUUCUUCUGUUCUCUGCGCCAGCCAGCUUCUACUAGCAUCAGUGUUUCUUAUGAGGUGAAUGUCUCAUCAGAAGCUUCAUCAACAUCCAUGCCUCAUUUGUCAAUAGAGCCCCCUCCAAACCAAAGCAAUAAUAAUGACAGUAGUUUGCCUGUGAGACCAACUGAUAAGUUGAAUCAAGGAUCCGAUUCUCUCCUCUGCCUCAAGACAUUCAGGAACACGUCUUGAGAUCAAUGAUCGUCACAUAAUGAUUGAGUCUUGCGAAGAAGAAACUUUCGAUUGGGGUGCUCUGGUGAAUUUGCUACGCUUGACUCUGAUUGCAAUGUUGUUCGGGGGACUUACCCUUCAGCAAAGGCAAAGGCAAUCAUACCGACCAACGUUUGAUCCCAUCCCACCCAAGUUCUUCCUCGACUCGUUUCACGUUCCUCACCUCGAAGUUUCCGAGGGCGAGGUGUCAUCCACAUGGGAGGCGACCGUAACCAUUUGCAACGUCAUGAACUACUCCAACAUCAACAUCAACAUCAACAUCCUGAACCUGGAAGCGAAAAUAAAUUACCGGGAAAACGAAACGCUGGCUGUGAUUUCUCCCAUUAUGCCCCAAUACAUGUUACCGGAUGCAGUUUUAUUGUUGGAAAAUGAGGAGACAAAAAAGUUGCAUUUGAAGUUGAGUACGACUGGGUGGGAAGAGAACCAACCCAUUGUGGAUGACACAGUGGUUCAGGCCAUUGCUGAAGAUAUUGAACGAGGAAGCACGAGGUUUAGUUUACAUAUGAUUAUCAUAGGAGAGGUUUGGUUGGGCGAUGGGUGGGUCCAAACUUUUAUGAUGUAUCCUAAAUGCACUAAUUUGGUGGUAAAGGUUCUCACUAACACCACAACAAUCGUUGUCCACAAGCCUAAAGAAUGUGUAGGAGUCGUUCAAUGGGGUUC